rnacentral:tRNA from 1 species
GUGGCUAUGGUGUAAUGGUUAGCACGGCAGUCUGUGGAACUGUCAGUGAGGGUUCGAAUCCCUCUAGUCACC